CGGAUCCUUAUAUUGAUGAAGCCAUGUUUAACGCAAUUCUAUAUGAGUCAGAGCAUCAGUGCAUCAAUUCACAGAGCAGAAAAAGUUCCUCCGUUUUUGCUUUGAAGAUUCUUUCUCAAGUUUCCAUCUUUCUUCUUCUGGGUUUACAUAGUUCUGUGAAUCACAGACUGUGAUCAGUGGCAACGAACACAGAGAACAAAGAUGCAUUAAAAGACAAAUUUAUUCAUUGUUUUGUAUUGAUAGUUCAUAUGUAAUUGAUUAAAGAAGAAAUAUGCGUAAGAGAAGACUAAAGAGUACAUUUGGCUAAACCCUUUUUUAAAAGUCCCACAUCGACAAGCUAGGGAUCGUUGGUCAUAAGCUUUGUAGUAUAAAUAAGAAGCUGAGCCAUUCGUUCUAAUCAUACCUUUCUCGGCCUUUUGGCUAAGAUCAAGUGUAGUAUCUGUUCUUAUCAGUUUAAUAUCUGAUAUGUGGGCCAUCGGCUCACACGAUAUUAACUCUAUCUUUUAAGGGAGAAAGCCCGCUAUGAUAGCUUGCUAUCUGGGCUUCCACGAGUCGCCCAUGCGUUGCACUACUGCACGGGCCUGGCUCAACCCGCCAAACUAGAAGUGAAACUUUUAAAAUUUUAGUCACUUUUGAUGUUUAGUUUUUAAAAUGAUGUAGGAUUCUUUAUCAUUCAAAGUCCAAAACAUCCAAAAUAUACGACAAGUAAAAAUCUGUGAAGUAAAUAUAUGAACUUUUGCUUGUCUCUGGCAAAAAUCUGAAUGGUAAUGUUUCAGACUGAAGCCAAAAUGGCAUUGGCAUUGUCUCUGCGUCAUGUGUGUCUCAUCUGCGAUCUACAGUUUGAUGGAUAAUUUGCAGAAUUC